AUUUUUCACUCGUCAACCGGCUGCAGAUUUCACUCGGCCAACUUCGGUUACUCCUCUACACCAAACCAUGUUUCCAAACAGAGUUAUCUUUCCGUGACCCGCAAAUUAUAUUUUUAACUGGUUUGCUUUUGGCGCAAUAUUCUGAUGUUUAGGCUAACACUGUUUUUAACGGCGUCAGCUUCUUAUAUUUAUUGGGCUACAAACACUAAACAGUUGUCUUUUAUUUUCUGAGGAGAUUUUCUGACCUGGGUAAUUGUUCAUCAAUAGUGGUUUUGAUUUUUCACUUGGAUUGGUGGAAGAAGGUACCAUACAAUACUAUACUACUGUACUGUGUUAGAUUGUUCAGCGUAAAUUGGUUUCAAAGACCUUUCCAGUACGCCACGGUAUUCAGUAUAAUCUAAGGAAAUUAAAACAGAAGAAAAGUAUAGAAAAUAUUUCCAAUUAUCUAUCUUGAGAUCACAGAGAUUGAAUGCUGCAGGUCUUGUGUUUAGUGUAUAGACUAAUUGGUGGAUGUUAUUAACAUUAACCUUUUAGCAAAGGUUAGCUUGAUGAUGUUACUGACUUUGCAGUGUAGUGGAAGAUGUUAACCUAACUUUGGUAGACAACAAGCCUAACCCUGAAGUCAACGAUGUACAAUAUGUCAGUGUCACGGUUCCACUACCAAACGUAACGCGAAUAUAAACAAUACUUACGGGUACAUGUAUUUACUUUGAUUGAAAUGAGGUCAACUUAAAAAUUUGUGUAGAUGUGUUAUUUGUUGUAACAGUUAUAUCCAUAAAAGUUAUAUCCAUAAAAUGUAAA